GGUUAAGUUAAUAAGGGCGCACGGUGGAUGCCUUGGCACUAGAAGCCGAUGAAGGACGUGACUAACGACGAAAUGCUUUGGGGAGCUGUAAGUGAGCAAUGAUCCAGAGAUGUCCGAAUGGGGGAACCCGGCAGGUAAUGCCUGUCACUCAUUACUGUUAAGGUAAUGUAGAGGAAGACGCAGUGAACUGAAACAUCUAAGUAGCUGUAGGAAGAGAAAGCAAAAGCGAUUGCCUUAGUAGCGGCGAGCGAAACGGCAAGAGGGCAAACCGAAGAGUUUACUCUUCGGGGUUGUAGGACUGCAACGUGGACUUAAAGAUUAUAGAAGAACUACCUGGGAAGGUAGGCCAAAGAGAGUAAUAGCCUCGUAUUCGAAAUAGUCUUUAUACCUAGCAGUAUCCUGAGUACGGCGAGACACGAGAAAUCUCGUCGGAAUCUGGGAGGACCAUCUCCCAACCCUAAAUACUCUCUAGUGACCGAUAGUGAACCAGUACCGUGAGGGAAAGGUGAAAAGCACCCCGGGAGGGGAGUGAAAUAGAACCUGAAACCGUGUGCCUACAACAAGUUCGAGCCCGUUAAUGGGUGAGAGCGUGCCUUUUGUAGAAUGAACCGGCGAGUUACGAUAUGAUGCGAGGUUAAGUUGAAGAGACGGAGCCGUAGGGAAACCGAGUCUUAAUAGGGCGCAUUAGUAUCAUGUCGUAGACCCGAAACCAUGUGACCUACCCAUGAGCAGGUUGAAGGUGAGGUAAAACUCACUGGAGGACCGAACCAGGGCACGUUGAAAAGUGCUUGGAUGACUUGUGGGUAGCGGAGAAAUUCCAAACGAACUUGGAGAUAGCUGGUUCUCUCCGAAAUAGCUUUAGGGCUAGCGUCGAUGUUAAGUCUCUUGGAGGUAGAGCACUGUUUGGGUGAGGGGUCCAUCCCGGAUUACCAAUCUCAGAUAAACUCCGAAUGCCAAUGAGAUAUAAUCGGCAGUCAGACUGCGAGUGCUAAGAUCCGUAGUCGAAAGGGAAACAGCCCAGACCACCAGCUAAGGUCCCAAAAUAUAUGUUAAGUGGAAAAGGAUGUGGGGUUGCACAGACAACUAGGAUGUUAGCUUAGAAGCAGCUAUUCAUUCAAAGAGUGCGUAAUAGCUCACUAGUCGAGUGACCCUGCGCCGAAAAUGUACCGGGGCUAAAACAUAUUACCGAAGCUGUGGAUACCUUUAUAGGUAUGGUAGGAGAGCGUUCUAUGUGCGAAGAAGGUGUACCGUGAGGAGUGCUGGAGCGCAUAGAAGUGAGAAUGCCGGUAUGAGUAGCGAAAGACAGGUGAGAAUCCUGUCCACCGUAAGACUAAGGUUUCCAGGGGAAGGCUCGUCCGCCCUGGGUUAGUCGGGACCUAAGGAGAGACCGAAAGGUGUAUCCGAUGGACAACAGGUUGAUAUUCCUGUACUAGAGUAUAUAGUGAUGGAGGGACGCAGUAGGCUAACUAAACCAGACGAUUGGAAGUGUCUGGCCAAGCAGUGAGGUGUGAUAUGAGUCAAAUGCUUAUAUCUUUAACAUUGAGCUGUGAUGGGGAGCGAAGUUUAGUAGCGAAGUUAGUGAUGUCACACUGCCGAGAAAAGCUUCUAGCGUUAAUUAUACUCUACCCGUACCGCAAACCGACACAGGUAGUCGAGGCGAGUAGCCUCAGGUGAGCGAGAGAACUCUCGUUAAGGAACUCGGCAAAAUGGCCCCGUAACUUCGGGAGAAGGGGCGCUGACUGAUGGUCAGCCGCAGUGAAUAGGCCCAAGCAACUGUUUAUCAAAAACACAGCUCUCUGCUAAAUCGUAAGAUGAUGUAUAGGGGGUGACGCCUGCCCGGUGCUGGAAGGUUAAGAGGAGUGCUUAGCGUAAGCGAAGGCAUGAAUUGAAGCCCCAGUAAACGGCGGCCGUAACUAUAACGGUCCUAAGGUAGCGAAAUUCCUUGUCGGGUAAGUUCCGACCCGCACGAAAGGCGUAAUGAUUUGGGCACUGUCUCAACGAGAGACUCGGUGAAAUUUUAGUACCUGUGAAGAUGCAGGUUACCCGCGACAGGACGGAAAGACCCCAUGGAGCUUUACUGCAGUUUGAUAUUGAGUAUCUGUACCACAUGUACAGGAUAGGUAGGAGCCUAUGACCUCGGGACGCCAGUUUCGAGUGAGGCGUUGUUGGGAUACUACCCUUGUGUUAUGGCUACUCUAACCCAGAUAGGUUAUCCCUAUCGGAGACAGUGUCUGACGGGCAGUUUGACUGGGGCGGUCGCCUCCUAAAAGGUAACGGAGGCGCCCAAAGGUUCCCUCAGAAUGGUUGGAAAUCAUUCGCAGAGUGUAAAGGUAUAAGGGAGCUUGACUGCGAGAGUUACAACUCGAGCAGGGACGAAAGUCGGGCUUAGUGAUCCGGUGGUUCCGUAUGGAAGGGCCAUCGCUCAACGGAUAAAAGCUACCCUGGGGAUAACAGGCUUAUCUCCCCCAAGAGUUCACAUCGACGGGGAGGUUUGGCACCUCGAUGUCGGCUCGUCGCAUCCUGGGGCUGUAGUCGGUCCCAAGGGUUGGGCUGUUCGCCCAUUAAAGCGGCACGCGAGCUGGGUUCAGAACGUCGUGAGACAGUUCGGUCCCUAUCCGUCGCGGGCGUAGGAAAUUUGAGAGGAUCUGCUCCUAGUACGAGAGGACCAGAGUGGACUUACCGCUGGUGUACCAGUUGUUCUGCCAAGAGCAUCGCUGGGUAGCUAUGUAGGGAAGGGAUAAACGCUGAAAGCAUCUAAGUGUGAAGCCCACCUCAAGAUGAGAUUUCCCAUGAUUUUAUAUCAGUAAGAGCCCUGAGAGAUGAUCAGGUUGAUAGGUUAGAAGUGGAAGUGUGGUGACACAUGUAGCGGACUAAUACUAAUAGCUCGAGGACUUAUCCAA
rnacentral:rRNA from 1 species